CUUCCCCACUCCAUUCUCUCUAUAUCACUUUUCACUCUUUAUAAUCUCUUUCCUUUAUCACACACCACAACCCUUCAAUGAAGACAUCACCAUUACUUCAUCGCGGUGGCUACACCACUACACACCACACAUGAGGCAUCGAAUAAACCAGCACAAAUCAACACCAAGUAAACCAUCGGAGAAACGCUCAGCCACUCACGACAUUGUCGACGUUGCGUUGCAUGACGCCUCGCCACAAGUGGCGCUCUAAGAAGGAUGUUGCUUGACGCUACUACUAUUGGUGGUGAACAACCUCCACUCCAAACAACUACUUUUCUGAUAUUUGUGGUUGAGCGUCGAUGAAAUUUGUGGUUUUGUAAGUAUUUUGUGGGUUGUGAUUUGAGGUGGCGGCAGUGGUUUCGAUGAUAAAUUUGGAGAUUUUUUUGUGGGAAUUUGAGGUAAAGGUGGUGGCAGAGGCAGAGGCAAUGGUUUUGUUGAAUAUGGUGGUGGCUGUAAUUUUUGUUGGCGGUGACGGUGACAAUGGAUUAGACAACUGGGUUGGUUUUUGUUGAAUCUAGCGAUAGAACUGAUAGUGGUAGUUUGAUGGUGGCAAUGGUGGUUUGUAGUUGAAAAUGGUGAUUUGUUGAUGGUUUUGAAGUUGAAAAUGGAAGUUUGUUGGAAACGGUGAUUAUGGUGGUAAGGUGGCGUUGCCACCGCACCCAAUUCAUUGUCGAAAGUAAAAUGGAGUAAAAUGGCCGGCGAUGGUGGUGGGUUGUUGAGUCCGUGUUGCUGGCUAUGGGGCAGUGUUGGUAAUGAUGGCUCUAUUAGGCUGUGAUGGUAAUCGUCGUCAUAAGUGGCCGUGCUGGUAUUGGUAUGUGACCAACUAUUUAAUUGUGAUUUAAAAAUUCGAUAAUUUGUGACCAACUAAUUUGAAAAUAUGUGAUCAACAAAUAAAUUGUGACCUAUCAACAUUUUUCAAUUGUGGCCAUAAAAUAAUCCGUGAUCAAUUAAUUUGAUAAUAUGUGAUCAGUAAAUAAAUUAUUACUUAUAAGUUCGUACGUGACCAUUAAUUGUAUAAUUGCAACCUUAAUAUAUUUAAUUAUUUAUUUAUCACCUGAGUUUUGAAUUUUAAAACAUAAAACCUGAAAUCUGAAUUGGCUCAUGGGAGAGAAAUGGGCUGACAUGAGAC
rnacentral:lncRNA from 1 species